AGUGAACGCUGGCGGUAGGCCUAACACAUGCAAGUCGAACGGCAGCACAGUAAGAGCUUGCUCUUACGGGUGGCGAGUGGCGGACGGGUGAGGAAUACAUCGGAAUCUACUUUUUCGUGAGGGAUAACGUAGGGAAACUUACGCUAAUACCGCAUACGACCUACGGCUGAAAGCAGGGGAUCUUCGGCCCUUGCGCGAUUGAAUGAGCCGAUGUCGGUUUAGCUAGUUGGCGGGGUAAGGGCCCACCAAGGCGACGCGCCGUAGCUGGUCUGAGAGGAUGGGCGGCCAAACGGAAACUGAGACACGGUCAAGCCCCUUAGGGGAGGCGGCGGGGGGAAUUUUGGGACAAGGGGGGAAAGCCUGAUCCAGCCUUACCGGGUGGUUAAAGAGGGCCUUCGGUUUGUAAAUCCCUUUUGUGGGGAAAAAAAAGCAGCAGGUUAAUACCCCGCUGUUCUGACGGAACCCAAAGAAUAGGCACGGCCAAACUUCGU
rnacentral:rRNA from 1 species